GAUGAACGCUGGCGGCGUGCCUAAUACAUGCAAGUCGAGCGAACGGACGAGAAGCUUGCUUCUCUGAUGUUAGCGGCGGACGGGUGAGUAACACGUGGAUAACCUACCUAUAAGACUGGGAUAACUUCGGGAAACCGGAGCUAAUACCGGAUAAUAUUUUGAACCGCAUGGUUCAAAAGUGAAAGACGGUCUUGCUGUCACUUAUAGAUGGAUCCGCGCUGCAUUAGCUAGUUGGUAAGGUAACGGCUUACCAAGGCAACGAUGCAUAGCCGACCUGAGAGGGUGAUCGGCCACACUGGAACUGAGACACGGUCCAGACUCCUACGGGAGGCAGCAGUAGGGAAUCUUACGCAAUGGGCGAAAGCCUGACGGAGCAACGCCGCGUGAGUGAUGAAGGUCUUCGGAUCGUAAAACUCUGUUACUAGGGAAGAACAUAUGUGUAAGUAACUGUGCACAUCUUGACGGUACCUAAUCAGAAAGCCACGGCUAACUACGUG
rnacentral:rRNA from 1 species